rnacentral:rRNA from 1 species
AGUUUGAUUAGCAAAGCUCAGAUUGAACGCUGGCAGGAUGCUUUACACAUGCAAGUCGAACGGCAGCGCGGACUUCGGUCUGGUGGCGAGUGGCGAACAGGUGAGUAAUGUAUCGGAACGUGCUAGUAGCGGGGGAUAACUACGCGAAAGCGUAAUAAUACCGCAUACGCCCUUCGGGGGAAAGCAGGGGGACCUUCGGGCCUCGCACUAUUAGAGCGGCCGAUAUCGGAUUAGCCUAGUUGGUGGGGUAACGGCUCGCAAGGCGACGAUCCGUAGCUGGUUUGAGAGGACGACCAGCCACACUGGGACUGAGACACGGCCCAGACUCCUACGGGAGGCAGCAGUGGGGAAUUUUGGACGUGGAAACCCUGGUCAGCCAUCCGCGUGUGCGAUGAAGGCCUUCGGGUUGUAAAACACUUUUUGGCAGGAAAGAAACGGCACAGGAUAAUACCCCGAUACAGCGAAGCAGUACCUGCAGAAUAAGCACCGGCUAACUACGUGCCAGCAGCCGCGGUAAUACGUAGGGUGCAAGCGUUAAUCAGGUCACUGGGCCUUCUAAAGCGUGCGCAGGCGGUUCGGAAGAAGAUGUGAAAUCCCAGAGCUUAACUUUGGGGCUUCAUUUUAACUACCGAGCUAGAAGGUGUCAGAGGUGGGAAUUCCGCGUGCUUACGGUGAAAUGCGUAGAUAUGCGGAAGACGCCAGUGGCGAAACAGCCUCCUGGGAUAACCACUGACGCUCAUGCACCGAAAGCGUUGGGAGCAAACAGGAUAGGCCUUUGGUAGUCACGCUAAACAUUGUCAACUAGCUGUUGGGGCCUUCGGGCCUUGGUAGCGCAGCUAACGCGUGAAGUUGACCGCCUGGGGAAUUACGGUCGCAAGAUUAAAACUCAAGAUUGACAGGGGACCCACACAAGCGGUGGAUGAUGUGGAUUAAUUCGAUGCAACGCGAAAAACCUUACCCUUGACAUGUCUGGAAUCCCGAAGAGAUUUGGGAGUGCUCGCAAGAGAACCGGAACACAGGUGCUGCAUGGCUGUCGUCAGCUCGUGUCAUUGAGAUGUUGGGUUAAAGUCCCGCAACGAGCGCAACCCUUGUCAUUAGUUGCUACGAAGGGCACUCUAAUGAGACUGCACCGGUGACAAACCGGAGGAAGGUGGGGAUGACGUCAAGUCCUCGGCCCUUAUGGGUAGGGCUUCACCACGUCAUACAAUGGUCAGGACAGAGGGUCGCCAACCCGCGAGGAGCCAAUCCCAGAAACUGAUCGUAGUCCGGAUCGCAGUCUGCAGCGCUCGACUGCGUGAAGUCGGAAUCGCUAGUAAUCGCGGAUCAGCAUGUCGCGGUGAAUACGUUCCCAGGUCUUGUACACACCGCCCGUCACACCAUGGGAGUGGGUUUUACCAGAAGUAGUUAGCCUAACCGUAAGGAGGGCGAUUACCACGGUAGGAUUUUCAUGACUACAGAGGUGAAGUCGUAACAAGGUAG